rnacentral:rRNA from 1 species
CCAGACUCCUACGGGAGGCAGCAGUGGGGAAUAUUGCACAAUGGGGGAAACCCUGAUGCAGCGACGCCGCGUGGGUGAAGAAGUAUCUCGGUAUGUAAAGCUCUAUCAGCAGGGAAGAAAAUGACGGUACCUGACUAAGAAGCCCCGGCUAACUACGUGCCAGCAGCCGCGGUAAUACGUAGGGGGCAAGCGUUAUCCGGAUUUACUGGGUGUAAAGGGAGCGUAGACGGCGCUGCAAGUCCGGAGUGAAAGCCCAUGGCUUAACCAUGGUACUGCUCUGGAAACUGUGGAGCUUGAGUGCGGGAGGGGCAGGCGGAAUUCCUAGUGUAGCGGUGAAAUGCAUAGAUAUCACGCAGAACUCCGAUCGCGAAGGCAGCCUACCGGCGCGCAACUGACGCUCAUGCACGAAAGCGUGGGUAUCGAACAGGAUUAGAUACCCGAGUAAUC